rnacentral:rRNA from 1 species
CCUACGGGAGGCAGCAGUGAGGAAUAUUGGUCAAUGGACGAGAGUCUGAACCAGCCAAGUAGCGUGAAGGAUGACUGCCCUAUGGGUUGUAAACUUCUUUUAUAUGGGAAUAAAAUGUUCCACGUGUGGGAUUUUGUAUGUACCAUAUGAAUAAGGAUCGGCUAACUCCGUGCCAGCAGCCGCGGUAAUACGGAGGAUACGAGCGUUAUCCGGAUUUAGUGGGUUUAAAGGGAGCGUAGGUGGAUUGUUAAGUCAGUUGUGAAAGUUUGCGGCUCAACCGUAAAAUUGCAGUUGAAACUGGCAGUCUUGAGUACAGUAGAGGUGGGCGGAAUUCGUGGUGUAGCGGUGAAAUGCUUAGAUAUCACGAAGAACUCCGAUUGCGAAGGCAGCUCACUGGACUGCAACUGACACUGAGGCUCGAAAGUGUGGGUAUCAAACAGGAUUAGAUACCCCAGUAGUC